rnacentral:rRNA from 1 species
GACGAACGCUGGCGGCGUGCUUAACACAUGCAAGUCGAGCGGUAAGGCCCUUUUGGGGGUACACGAGCGGCGAACGGGUGAGUAACACGUGGGUGACCUGCCCUCAGCUCUGGGAUAAGCCUGGGAAACUGGGUCUAAUACUGGAUAUGACCUUUCCUCGCAUGGGGUUGGGUGGAAAGUUUUUUCGGCUGGGGAUGGGCCCGCGGCCUAUCAGCUUGUUGGUGGGGUGAUGGCCUACCAAGGCGACGACGGGUAGCCGGCCUGAGAGGGCGACCGGCCACACUGGACUGAGACACGGCCCAGACUCCUACAGGAGGCAGCAGCGGGGAAUAUUGCGCAAUGGGCGGAAGCCUGACGCAGCGACGCCGCGUGGGGAUGACG